rnacentral:rRNA from 1 species
UACGGAGGAUGCAAGCGUUAUCCGGAUUCAUUGGGUUUAAAGGGUGCGUAGGCGGGCUAUUAAGUCAGUGGUGAAAUCCUGCAGCUUAACUGCAGAACUGCCGUUGAUACUGAUAGUCUUGAGUUUGAUUAAGGUAGGCGGAAUGUGUAAUGUAGCGGUGAAAUGCUUAGGUAUUACACAGAACACAAAUUGCGUAGGCAGCUUACUGAGCCGACACUGACGCUGAGGCACGAAAGCGUGGGGAUCAAACAGGA